rnacentral:rRNA from 1 species
GACGGGACCCGCACAAGCGGUGGAUGAUGUGGUUUAAUUCGAUGCAACGCGAAAACCUUACCCACCUUUGACAUGUACGGAAUCCUUAGAGAUAGAGGAGUGCUCGAAAGAGAACCGUAACACAGGUGCUGCAUGGCUGUCGUCAGCUCGUGUCGUGAGAUGUUGGGUUAAGUCCCGCAACGAGCGCAACCCUUGUCCAUUAGUUGCUACAUUCAGUUGGGCACUCUAAUGAGACUGCCGGUGACAAACCGGAGGAAGGUGGGGAUGACGUCAAGUCCUCAUGGCCCUUAUAGGUGGGGCUACACACGUCAUACAAUGGAUGGUACAAAGGGUCGCCAACCCGCGAGGGGGAGCCAAUCCCAUAAAGCCAUUCGUAGUCCGGAUCGCAGUCUGCAACUCGACUGCGUGAAGUCGGAAUCGCUAGUAAUCGUGGAUCAGAAUGUCACGGUGAAUACGUUCCCGGGUCUU